CCUUCUCCUUCCUCCCGAAUCCCGCCUCUCUUCCGCUCUAUUCUCCAAUGUUCUUCGUCUCCUCCGGACCCUGUUGCUUCCACGCGAUUCGCCGACGGGUCUGGGAAACAAGAGCGGCUGCGGGCUGAGAGGGUUCUUGGGCUCUUUCGUGUGUAUUUUGGGGAUUUCCUUCUUCCCGGAGGCACCUCAUAGAUUUUCUCGACAUCUUUCUCGUGCAUCGAUUUCGAUAGCUUGAUGAUCUCUGGGCACAGGGGAAAUCUUAUCAUUGUCUUGAUGUUUUUCCUGUAUGUUUGCGAGAGAAACCUCUUUUGCCUGAUUCUUGUUGCCAAAGAAUGGAACUAUCUUAAAUUGAUUCUUGGUGUCAAUAAGCAAUUCAUGUAGAUAAGAAAUCAGAUGACGAGGAAAACAUGCCUGAUCUCGUAGGGGUAACAUCCUGAUAUCUGGACAAGGACCUUGCUGGGUUCUUGACGCCAAAUAUAUGAUGGGGGUUUCACUUCUUCCUAGAGGGAUUUGAAGCUUGAAUGUUGUGAAUUGCUGAAGCUAUGUAGACACCCAUCUCCUGCGCAACCAACCAACGCAGUAAAGCGCUGGUGAAUGAGGCCAGACAUUGUUGAUUCCAAGGAGUAUUCGAGUACAUUUUCAUCACAAGACGGAAAAUGACAACUCAGUGCUCUUCAGCUUUUGUGGAGAAGAUAGCUAAUCAGAGAAAUAAUGGCUUAACACUGACAGCCGGUUAUACAUAAUUAUAAAGCCGAUGUUUCUGCCUCCAACCGAGAAGAUCAUGAUUUCGAGUUCAGGUAUAAACUUUCAAAUUGCACACAAUGGGGCUAUCCUGUUUCUCUUUUUCUGAGUGGCUAU